rnacentral:rRNA from 1 species
UAGGGAAUCUUCCGCAAUGGACGCAAGUCUGACGGAGCAACGCCGCGUGAGUGAAGAAGGAUUUCGGUUCGUAAAACUCUGUUGUUAGAGAAGAACAGCGCAUAGAGUAACUGUUAUGCGUGUGACGGUAUCUAACCAGAAAGCCACGGCUAACUACGUGCCAGCAGCCGCGGUAAUACGUAGGUGGCAAGCGUUGUCCGGAUUUAUUGGGCGUAAAGCGAGCGCAGGCGGUCAAUUAAGUCUGAUGUGAAAGCCCCCGGCUCAACCGGGGAGGGUCAUUGGAAACUGGUUGGCUUGAGUGCAGAAGAGGAGAGUGGAAUUCCAUGUGUAGCGGUGAAAUGCGUAGAUAUAUGGAGGAACACCAGUGGCGAAGGCGACUCUAUGGUCUGUAACAGACGCUGAGGCUCGAAAGCGUGGGUAGCAAACAGG